GGCGGAAGGCGGCGGCGGCAGCAACGCGAACGCGAACGCGGGCUCGGGCGCGGGCUCGGGCUCGGGCUCGGCGGCGCGUCCCGCGCUUCCCCCUCCGGCCGGCUCCCGCCGCCCCGCACCGAAGGUUCCGCCCGCCAGAAAAAAGACGUCAUCCCUCGUACGCAAAGGCAGGUGGUGCACCCACCCAGGAGACUGCCGAAGCUGCUGGUGGCCCCCGUGGACAAGGACCUGCGGAGCAGAUCUGCUCCAGCUUCACGUUUCCAGCUUUUUCCAGUUUCGUGAAAACACUAUUGUGUUUGAAUUACCAUCACCGCAGGAAAAUAUUUUGGACCCCUUCUUUUUUUUUUCUCCCACUCUUAAA